rnacentral:rRNA from 1 species
UGGGGAAUAUUGGACAAUGGGCGGAAGCCUGAUCCAGCCAUGCCGCGUGUGUGAAGAAGGCCUUUUGGUUGUAAAGCACUUUAAGCGAGGAGGAGGCUACUUGGAUUAAUACUCUAGGAUAGUGGACGUUACUCGCAGAAUAAGCACCGGCUAACUCUGUGCCAGCAGCCGCGGUAAUACAGAGGGUGCGAGCGUUAAUCGGAUUUAUUGGGCGUAAAGCGUGCGUAGGCGGCUUCUUAAGUCGGAUGUGAAAUCCCUGAGCUUAACUUAGGAAUUGCAUUCGAUACUGGGAAGCUAGAGUAUGGGAGAGGAUGGUAGAAUUCCAGGUGUAGCGGUGAAAUGCGUAGAGAUCUGGAGGAAUACCGAUGGCGAAGGCAGCCAUCUGGCCUAAUACUGACGCUGAGGUACGAAAGCAUGGGGAGCAAACAGG